rnacentral:rRNA from 1 species
UACGUAGGGUGCAAGCGUUGUCCGGAAUUAUUUGGGGCGUAAAAGAGCUCGUAGGCGGUUUGUUGCGUCGGCUGUGAAAUCCCGAGGCUCAACCUCGGGUCUGCAGUCGAUACGAGCAAACUAGAGUGUUGCAGGGGAGACUGGAAUUCCUGGUGUAGCGGUGAAAUGCGCAGAUAUCAGGAGGAACACCGGUGGCGAAGGCGGGUCUCUGGGCCGAUACUGACGCUGAGGAGCGAAAGCGUGGGGAGCGAACAGG